rnacentral:misc_RNA from 1 species
GAUGAAGAACGUAGCGAAAUGCGAUACUUGGUGUUAAUUGCAGAAUCCCGCGAAUCAUCGAGUUUUUGAACGCAAGUUGCGCCCGAAGCCAUUCGGCCGAGGGCACGUCUGCCUGGGUGUCACGCAUCGUUGCCCCCCCCAAACUCCGGUUCGGGCAGGGCGGAAGUUGGCCUCCCGUGCGUGCCUGCGCGCGCGGUUAGCCCAAAAGCGAGUCCUCGGCGACGAGCGCCACGACAAUCGGUGGUUUUUUUACCCUCGUUCCUCGUCGUGCGUGCCCCGUCGCCCGAACGCGCUCUUGUGACCCUCACGCGUCGCCUCGGCGGCGCUCCCAACGCGACCCCAGGUCAGGCGGGACUACCCGCUGAGUUUAAGCAUAUCAAUAAGCGGAGGA